UCAUAUUAAAGACGAAAAACGGAAGCAACUAACGUAAGGUGGACCAAAGAAGACUCCAGAGACUGGGAAAUGUUGUCAAUUUAAAAGAUUUUGUUGGACUGUUUAGUACACGCUUGUCGUGCUAGAUGACAUUCGCUGAAGUCUGAACGCAUGCAUUGAGGUCACUAAUAUUUCUUAUCCAGCUCAGAAACGUUAGCUUGAGCUAACGUGUCAUAGCCUGAAAGCGAAGGAUAGCGGGGAUGCUAAUGGUUGUCAGCCCAACUGAGCUGCCAGAUUGAGGUUAAAAGUCAAAGGUCAUAUGGCAGGUCCUCAUCCCUCUUUUGGCUCUGACCCACUUCAGCUUUGCAGACCCCACUGGGUCUGCUCAUACUCCCUGUGCCUGGGCUGAAAACAAAUGAAAGACCAUCUGCCCAGUGCUGAGGGUUUUUUGACUGGCAUUGUGUGAAAACAAGGCCUCAGAUGACCUCCGUGACCUUCAGCACAGCAUUGCUUUCUCUAAUGUGUUGAAUGUUUACACAUUUUUUCUACAUUUCACAUUUGGGUGGCCAGUCUUGACUCACAAAACAAUCUGAACGUGACAACAAUGCAGAAACAAAUAAAUCGGCUUGUUUUA